UAACCCUCUAUUAGUCUAUCUCUCUACCCACCCAUUCACUCAACUGUCAAAUUCACCCCACCCUCGAUCUCUUUGACACCAUUCCGAGCCAGCCGCCAUCACCAUCGUCCUCAUCGUCUCCCCUCACCCUCGAUCUCUCUGACACCACUCCGAGCCAGCCACCAUCACCAUCGUCAUCGCCGUCUCCCCUCACCCUCGAUCUCUCUGACACCACUCCGACUCUCCUCCCUUGAUCUAUCUGACACCUUACCCUUGCUCUAACCACAUUGUCGCGCGGGCUUCCAUGGCCUCGCCCCCGCUCAACUCGUAUAGCAGUCGUCGACAAUGUCGUUUCUGAUUUUGUUUUGAUUUGAUGUAAUUUGUAAUGGUAAGGGUGGAGGUAUUGGAUCCGUGAGGAAGACGACGUAUCUAGUUCGAUUUGUGUGUCAAGGUCAGCGAGAAAUGCUUGAAGACGACGUCUCUGGUUCGAUCCGUGAGGAAGACGACGUCUCUGGUUCUCAUAGGGAUUCAAUUUUAUUUUAUUUUUUGAUGAAUUCGAAAUUGUAUUUGAAGAUUUUGUAUAGGAGAUGCUUGAUGGAAGUGGUGGGGAUCUCGGGGGUUGUGAAUGUUAGGGUUAGGGUUUUGCCCUCCAAAAAGGUCACGAAUGGGUUAUAGGUGUUGGAUUUGGCGAUGGUGGAUACUGGGAAGAAUCUGGAUAAUGAAAAUUAGGGGAAAAAAAAGUUUGUACCCGUAGGAACCAGCCCGUUUUAUACGGGCCGGGUUAGGUCCGAUUCUGAGUUUUAAAAUAAUAAAAUCCGCCCGGGCCCGGCCCGUUGUAUUUUCAA